UGGUGGCGAGUGGCGAACGGGUGAGUAAUAUAUCGGAACGUGCCCAGUCGUGGGGGAUAACGCAGCGAAAGCUGUGCUAAUACCGCAUACGAUCUCAGGAUGAAAGCGGGGGACUCGCAAGGGCCUCGCGCGAUUGGAGCGGCCGAUAUCAGAUUAGCUAGUUGGUGGGGUAAAAGCCCACCAAGGCGACGAUCUGUAGCUGGUCUGAGAGGACGACCAGCCACACUGGAACUGAGACACGGUCCAGACUCCUACGGGAGGCGGCAGUGGGGAAUUUUGGACAAUGGGCGCAAGCCUGAUCCAGCAAUGCCGCGUGCAGGAUGAAGGCCUUCGGGUUGUAAACUGCUUUUGUACGGAACGAAACGGUCUGCCUUAAUACGGUGGGCUAAUGACGGUACCGUAAGAAUAAGCACCGGCUAACUACGUGCCAGCAGCCGCGGUAAUACGUAGGGUGCGAGCGUUAAUCGGAAUUACUGGGCGUAAAGCGUGCGCAGGCGGUUAUAUAAGACAGAUGUGAAAUCCCCGGGCUCAACCUGGGACCUGCAUUUGUGACUGUAUAGCUAGAGUACGGUAGAGGGGGAUGGAAUUCCGCGUGUAGCGGUGAAAUGCGUAGAUAUGCGGAGGAACACCGAUGGCGAAGGCAAUCCCCUGGACCUGUACUGACGCUCAUGCACGAAAGCGUGGGGAGCAAACAGGAUUAGAUACCCUGGUAGUCCACGCCCUAAACGAUGUCAACUGGUUGUUGGGUCUUCACUGACUCAGUAACGAAGCUAACGCG
rnacentral:rRNA from 1 species